rnacentral:lncRNA from 10 species
CAAACUGAAAGGCAAGAAAAAACAUUUUUUCUUUUGUAGAAGACUACAUAUAAAGAGAUUGAAUCAAUUUUGGUUGAGACAGACAAACUAUAAGUAUUGAAAACAUUAAGAGUCAUUUGGAGAACAUAGGAGUUUCCAAAACCUGGUUACCUUAGCUUAUUUGAUUCAUGGACAUUUUGAUCUUACUGUCAAGGUCUUUAAAUCACCACCAGGGGGCCCUGAAAGCAUUUCUGUCUGAUUUCAAGGACCACAGUCUCUAAUGACAAGUACAACUGAUAAACUAUCCCUAGUGCAAAUGAGAGGGGUGCCUCAGUCCUCAUUUAAAGUUUGGAUUUUUCCUACAGACAUUUUCACUCAAAAUGCAGCAGCCUAAGUGGCUUUGAUGUACUCCGAGUUUUAUCAAUUUUUUUUACUGUAAUAUUCAAUAAUCUUUUAUGCUUUUACUGCUUCUUUUUUUUUUCUUUCUUUGAGACAGGGUCUUGUUUUGACACUUAGGCUGGAGUAUAGUGGCAUGAUCAUGGUUCACUGCAGCCUUGACCUCCUGGGCUCAAGUGAUUCUCCCGUCUCAGCCUGCUGAGUCUCUAGGACCACAGGUGAUUCUGACAUGCAAACAAGCCUCUGGGCCAAAGUUCCUGUGUCCAAGGAUUAAAAAAAAAAUGGAGCAUAAGUCUGAGGCUGUGAACGAGGCUCCUCCUGCCCUCUGGAGCUUGCUGGAAGGAAACACAGCCCAAGAAGUGGACUAAAGAGUUGUUCCAACACCACUGCCUACAAGAUGAACUGCUUCCAAAUGAUGAUAGAGGAAAAACUUUCAGGCUGAUAACAUCACAUCAUAGCCCAUGCCAGUGAAAAUCUUUCAACAGGAAGAGUGAAGAAGAGAGAAAAGGUCAAAAGACUGUUUUACUUCACGAAUUUCUGUAGGUCUAGCUUAAUUCAGGAGUGAACUUUAGAGUAUCUAAAUGGGAGGAUGAAAAGGAUAGAUUUCAUGCACCUUUGAAAAUAAUUUUUUUCCGCUAAAUUGUGUUUUUGAGAAGUAUUACAAGGCAGCAGCAUGCUUAAUGUUAUGCUUCUAGGCAAAUGCUUACAGUGUGUGUAUCACAUAUGCCCAAUUACACGUGGAACCACAGGCUCUAACAGACACUGGCUUGGGGUAGGGCUGACACAGCCUGUGCAAACUAAGGUGCUGGGAGGAUGCUUUCCUGAUCCAAUGCCUAUUCCAUUUCUGCUUGGAGGUGAGGAGAAAGAAUAUUUGUGUGCAAAGGCAGAGGACUGAAUUGUGUUUUACUACCUUUGAGCAGUUUUGCAAUUACUGUUGCAGAACAUGAGAAUCAAAGAAGAUGGGUGGAUGGACCAUCAUAGUCAAAGUGAGUCAUUGCCACAGGCAGAGGGAGGGAGGAAGCAGGAUGGUUGGUCUGUGCAGAUUCCAAGAUACAUCUAUGUGGGCCUUUCUAAUAAAGCAUUAAUUCAUUCUUCCAUUAUUCAUGCAAUACAUAAAUUUUGAGCACUGACAUGUGGUAAGCACUGUGCCAGUUAGUGGACAUGCCAAGAGAAAAAACACAUGGUUUGGGCCUCUUCAUAUAUUUUUGUACUUAUCUUCCACAGGUAGAACAAUGUUCCUUUUGCAUUCGACAGAUAUUUUGGAGCUCACAAUUUGUUUUUCAGCUUCUCACAGCAACGACCUCUGAAGAACAGGGCCUAAGCUUACUAAUAUGAACACAUGAUAUCAAUUUUGUGUUCCAGUAAUGACAGAAGUCCUGAUGCCAAAGGCAGCAUUGUUUUCAUUCUCUUGCUUUAAAACUGAGUAAUAAUAUAAUGAUUAGGAAUUACUGUUAGCAACACAGAUAAGAGUUAGUCAUUCACACUUCCACAGUGGAACAACUGUUGGGAAGCUAUAGCUUUAUGCUGAAUGAUUUUGAGUUCUAAUUACUGAAUCUGAAUAGCUGUCUUUAAAUGUCAGUAAUGGUAGAAAAAGGUUCUUUACUCUUAAGAACCAGUGGGGAAUGAGCAGUACAAAAUGUUCUUGUUAAAAUUUCUCUUCUCUUUUUAAAAUAGAUGAUCAAAGACAUCCUAGAGUUCCCAUCAUUUUAGGAGAUGUUUACAUACAUGAGGAAUGGCACAUAGGAAGACUCAGACCUUUACAACACCACAUGGAAGUCACAGAAUAAGAGAACAUUCAAGCUGGAAGGCAAUGUCUAGCCCAACCUCCUCAUUUUGCAGAUGAAGGAACUGUUUUAGUGCAGGGGUAUUACAUAUAAACAUCACAAGGGCAGAGCAGGUAUGGAGUUUGGGGCUCCUCUUACUCAAUCUAGUGGCCUGUCAAUGGUGUCUAGUAGGGUGCUGGUUGUCCCAUUCCUCCUUGCUGUCAGAUGUCUAUUUCAUUGCUGCCAUAAGUGUGGCUAGCCCCAGGGGAGGAAUGGUGACCAUCAAGACAAUCACACUCUCCUUUGCCAGGGAGUAUGUUCUGGCUUGUGAUAUGUAAUGGGAGCUUUGCUGGUGCUCUUUGGAAAAGUUUUGCCUUGCUGACAACACGCAGGCACUUGAGAACAGAGUCCUUUUGCUAAUACCUUCCUUUCUUCUUUGAACAGUCAUGGGAGGAUAUCAGGCUUAGAGCUGUGAUAGCUCUUUUGUGAUCCUAAGAGGAGAUUGUUGCCAUGGCACCGAAGUUGCAGACUAGGAGGAGAAAAUCAGCCCUAUCCUUGUUGAAAUCAUUGAUCUGAGCUAGCCUGGGACUGACUACCUCUUCCUGCUAGGUUAAUAGGACUCUCCUUUGGCUUAAGCCAGACAAGAGGGUGCUUGGUAUAUUCAAGGAUAGACAAGGGUCCAAUGUGAUUGGAGAGCAGUGAAUCAUAGGGAGAAAAGAAGAUGAGGUGAGUAGGUAACAGUAGGCCAGAUCAGGUAGGGUUUUAUAACAUGGUGAAGGUUUUUAGCAUUUACUCUGUCGUGUGAGCAGAAGAGUGAUUUUAUUCUGAGUUAUGUGUAACUGGAUCACCCUGGCUGAUAUGUUAAGAAAAGACUGUGAGAGGUUGAAGGUAGAACCAGGGAAACCUGUUGAAACUCUUUUGACACGAUCCAGGGAAAAGAUGGCAAUAGCUUAGACCAGUGUAGUAGUGAAAAAAGUGGCAAGACAUCACAGAUUCUGGAUACAUUUUAAAGGUAAUGAUAAAAAUUUUCUUGACAUAAUAAGGGGAAAGAGAGAUAGAUAUAUAGAUAUUGAAAGAGAGAGAGAGAAUGAGAGAGAGAGAGAGUCAAAGAUGACCUAGUCUGAACAAUGGGAAGGAUAAAGUUGUCCUGAACUGAGAUGAGGGUGACUUUAGGAGGAAUAAUUUUAGGGGGAGAAGAUCAGAAGUUCUGAUAUGAUCAAGUUAAGUUUGAGGUGUGUAUUAGACUUAUAAAUAGAGAUGUUGAGUGGACUGUCAGAUCUUAAAGCUGCAAUUUAGGGGAGAAAUCCAUGCUGGAGAUAUACAUUCAGAAAUUAAAAAAAUCAUAUUGAUUGUGUUUAAAGGCAUGAAACUCAAUGUAAUCUGCAAGGAGAUUAGUAUGGAUAGACAAGAGAAGAGACCCAGAGACUGAACUCUAGGGCACUCCAACUAUUAGAGGUGGGAGGGAUGAAGAUAAACUCAAGAAUGAGGGUGACCAACCAGGAAGGCAGAAGGGGAAUCAGGAGAGAGGGUGGUUCUGGAGGCCAAAUGAAGAAGGUUUAGAAGGAGGAAGGAAUAAUGAACUCUGUCAAUAAAGGCAAGUCAAUAGACUCAAACCCUCAUUCCAGCAUACAGGGGGAUGACUAUGUUGUCUCUUUUUAAUAUUUUCUGGUAGUUUUGGUAAAAGUGAGGGGAUUGUGCUUGCAUUUAUCCAAAUUGCCUUUGCCUCCAAGGUCACCUUAUUUAGCGUUCUUAAUCUCUACUCUACAUUUUGACUCCUCUGUUUACUGUCUCAUUUUGUUACCACAUCACUAUAUUGGAAACCUCCCUGACCAUCCUCUUACCACAGCCCACCAACUCCAGCAUGUGUGUGUUAGAUUGAAUAGUAGAUUUAAGGGCAACUUGCGGAUGACAUCACAGGGCAGCCCAACACGAAGUUGAAUGAAUCAGUCAGGGUAGGCUUGGUUAUGUUGUAGUAACAAACAGCCCCAAAUCUCCAUGGCUAAAACCAACAAAUGUAACUCAUCAAAUGGGCAAAUAAAAUUUGUGCAUUUCACUAUAUGUAUAUUUUGUCAAAAAAAUCACCUGCAAACAAAUAUUGGGCUCUACUAAGUGAUAUGCAUACUGAAGUGGUUAGGCUGAGAUGUACUAAUGUCUGCAACUUAUUGAAAUGUAUCCAAUAGGUAAAAUUAAUUGAUGGGUGGAUAGAGGAAUGUACAGAUGUGUGAUAAAACAAAUAUAGGAAAAUGUUAAUUGUAGGAUCUAGAUGGUGGGUACAGAAAAAUUCACUGUAAAAUUCUGUUAAUUUCUGAAUGUUUGAAAACUUCCAUAAUAAAAUUAGAAAAACAUCAACAACAAAUAUAGUUUAUGCCGUGCAUCACCACAGGUCAGCAGGGGGCUCUGCUCCACACAGACACUCAGGGAACCAGGCUUAAGUAGCCACCAUCUCAAAUGCUUUGUAUCACCAUGGCAGAGGGGAAGAGAGCUCUGGAGACAAUUAAAUGUAUUUGAUGGAAGUGACACGAGUCAUGUCACUUCUUUCAGCUUUUUAGGGAGAACUCAUCAUAUAACCCAACUCAAUUAUGG